UACGGGGGGAGCAAGCGUUGUUCGGAUUUACUGGGCGUAAAGGGCGCGUAGGCGGCGUGACAAGUCACUUGUGAAAUCUCCGGGCUUAACCCGGAGCGGUCAAGUGAUACUGUCGUGCUAGAGUGCGGAAGGGGCUACUGGAAUUCUCGGUGUAGCGGUGAAAUGCGUAGAUAUCGAGAGGAACACCUGCGGCGAAGGCGGGUAGCUAGGCCGACACUGACGCUGAUGCGCGAAAGCCAGGGGAGCGAACGGG
rnacentral:rRNA from 1 species